GACGAACGCUGGCGGCGUGCUUAACACAUGCAAGUCGAACGAAGAGCGAUGGAAGCUUGCUUCUAUCAAUCUUAGUGGCGAACGGGUGAGUAACGCGUAAUCAACCUGCCCUUCAGAGGGGGACAACAGUUGGAAACGACUGCUAAUACCGCAUACGAUCUAAUCUCGGCAUCGAGGAUAGAUGAAAGGUGGCCUCUACAUGUAAGCUAUCACUGAAGGAGGGGAUUGCGUCUGAUUAGCCAGUUGGAGGGGUAACGGCCCACCAAGGCGAUGAUCAGUAGCCGGUCUGAGAGGAUGAACGGCCACAUUGGGACUGAGACACGGCCCAGACUCCUACGGGAGGCAGCAGUGGGGAAUCUUCCGCAAUGGACGAAAGUCUGACGGAGCAACGCCGCGUGAGUGAUGACGGCCUUCGGGUUGUAAAGCUCUGUUAAUCGGGACGAAAGGCCUUCUUGCGAAUAGUGAGAAGGAUUGACGGUACCGGAAUAGAAAGCCACGGCUAACUACGUG
rnacentral:rRNA from 1 species